GGCUGCUGCAAGGAUCAGGAACAGUCAGUGCUUAGAGGAGCUGCCUGUGAGAAACAUGGAGGAGCAUUGUACUCAGCCAUAUCACCACAUAUGGACACCUCAUCAAGAGAUUUAUCCUUCAUAAAAUCUGAAUAGACAGGAUGGUUCCUCUCUGAAGAUGCUGCUCUUCUACACUGACUGCAAAGGGAGGGUCAGACUUCUGGCUGGGAAAGCUCACCCAGAACUCAAAAUCACCUUGGGAGGAUCUUGGUCCCCACUAAAGGUCUGUGAAGAUCAUACAAUUGCAAAAAACUGUUGUGUCCUCAUUUACUGAAAGGAAAAUUCUGAGCAAAGAUCCUGUGCUCCUGACCUCAAGAAAAUGGGGCUGGGAGAAGGUGUGAACACUUUGAAGGAAGAAAAAAGCAAAGUAGAUUGAGACAGAAGAAAAGAAAGACAAAGAAGAAGAAGAAAGAAGGAAGAAGACGAAAAAGAACAUGAAGAAGAAGAAAUGUGAAAAAAGAGAUUUUAAAAAAUGAAAGAGGAUGAAAAUUAAGCAUAAACAAACUUUUUAUUUGACUCCAAGGAUGAAUUAAUUCAAUUUAUUCCACCUGAGUGUAGGAGACUUGGAUGGAAUGCCAGUUCCCAAAAAACAUGUCCACAUUUAAUGACUAUUGGGCAAAAUGGGGAUCCACAGUUUUGAAACCACCUAAAAAAUUAUAAAGUUAUUUUUAAAUUUUUUUCAUUAUUUUACUAAAUUAACCUUCCAUUUCCAUGUAUGCAAAUAAUGAGUAGUUCAUGUACACUAUUCAGAAAACACUCAGUAUUUUUUACUAGCAGAAAAAAAGACAUGAGAAUAUGAAUCCUAAGAGUCAGAAAUUACAAGACUGGAAGACAAAAUGAUAAGGCUGAAGAUCCUAAAAAAGGAGAUUAUUUAAAAAUUUUAGUACCUUGAAACUAGUCAGAUGUGUUCAUGUAUAAAUUUUUUUGCCUUUUUUGUCAUAUCCAACAAAUCUAAGAAAAUGAUUACUCACCACAUUUAGAAAUUAUCAUUAACUACACUGGGGACCAAAGAAGGAUGAAUUAUUCAAGAAGAAAAUGUAUAAAUAGAUGCUUGAAGAUAUUGAGUUUUCUCAUGUCUUUCUCUAAAAGUAGCAAUUCUCUUUUAUUUGUACUAUUCUUUCAAAUAAAAAAUUCAGUAGGAAAUGGAAAAAAAUAUACCUCAGAAUAAUCAGGGUAGACAAUAUAAUAGGAAAAAAAAAGAGCUUUAUUCCUUAUUUUUCAGUGUGCUUAAUUAAAUGCCUUCCUGAAGAUUUAAAAGCAUUUUAGCUCAUGUAUAUCUGCAAUUUCACUGCCAACCCAGUUAAAGAACCUCUAACUUAACUCUGGUAAGAACUAUUGCUUUCUUGUAGCCCACUGCCACUGAGGUUGAGUUAAAUAUUCCCUCUAGAACAAAUUAGAGCACAGAACAUGUCAAACCUUCCACUAAAAGGAAACUUCAACAGAAAUUCUGGUUUAUUUGAGGGCUGAGUUGCCAACAGAGCUGCCCUGGUCUUUUCUGUCUGCAGAAAUGAAGCAUUCAGGGAAAUAUUAGGUUCUUCCCUGAACCCCAACAAUAAUUAGCUAAUCAUUAUUGCCCUUGUGACUCCACAUUGAUUAUGAUAAAUGCACAGAACCUAUUUUGACCAGUAAGGAAUUCUAUAGGAAUUGCACCAUUUCAUUUAGUUUGAGUCAAAAUCCUCUUCAAAACCUUGUAAUUUGUGGCUGAAUCCACAACAGGAUCCUUUUGUGGGUACUUGCCCAGCAGAAAGGCAUCAUUUUGCCAAAAGUAGCUCUGCGGUUGAAUAUUUACACACAGAAAUGUUGGUGUAACAUGAUGCUAAACAGCUUCCUUUCUACCCCCAAACAGCA